GAGUUUGAUCAUGGCUCAGGAUGAACGCUAGCUACAGGCUUAACACAUGCAAGUCGAGGGGCAGCAUGAAGUCAGCUUGCUGACUUUGAUGGCGACCGGCGCACGGGUGCGUAACGCGUAUCAAACCUGCCGCAUACUCGGGGAUAGCCUUGCGAAAGUAAGAUUAAUACCCGAUGUUAUUGUUUCCCCGCAUGGGGAGAUAAUCAAAGAUUUUAUCGGUAUGCGAUGGUGAUGCGUCUGAUUAGGUAGUAGGCGGGGUAACGGCCCACCUAGCCAACGAUCAGUAGGGGUUCUGAGAGGAAGGUCCCCCACACUGGAACUGAGACACGGUCCAGACUCCUACGGGAGGCAGCAGUGAGGAAUAUUGGUCAAUGGACGGAAGUCUGAACCAGCCAAGUAGCGUGCAGGAUGACGGCCCUCCGGGUUGUAAACUGCUUUUAGUUGGGAAUAACGGCGGGGACGCUCCCCGAGAGGAAUUACCUCAA
rnacentral:rRNA from 1 species